AAGUCGUAACAAGGUUUCCGUAGGUGAACCUGCGGAAGGAUCAUUAACAAGGUUUAGGGUGAUGCAGUGCAAACUGCCGCUCCCCUUUCCUCCACCCGUGUCUACAUACUCUUGUUGCUUUGGCGGGCCGUGGCCUCCACUACGGGUUCUGCUCGUACGUGCCCGCCAGAGGACCAAACUCUGAAUGUUAGUGAUGUCUGAGUACUAUAUAAUAGUUAAAACUUUCAACAACGGAUCUCUUGGUUCUG
rnacentral:misc_RNA from 1 species